AGAGAGCGCGCGGGCUGGGGCUACGUACGGUUGUUGGGGUCGCUGGUGUGCUGAUUGAGCGGGAUGAUCUCCAUGCGCUGCUGGCCAUACAGUUGUCUGAGCCUGGGAAACGUGCUGUUUAGCCUUCGUCCGGGUCUCAUGCAGGAUGCUUCGAUGUUGGUUGGAACAGAGUUGGACCGAAAAUGUUUUGACUGGCGUCGUUAUGACAAGGUCAUCCGUCAUCGUUGGAUAGAUUGAUAGCACCCAAGUUUAAGGCAGAGACCACGAGGGAAAACCCACGGCACUGUGGACCCGGAGGCUAACCAGGCAGUCUCCGCAGAUUUCCAGCAACUCCAUAGGGAGGAGAGGAUGAAGUUCCAGGCCCGUUUCAAUUAAUCUGCUGGUAGAACUGGCGAAGAGAGGCUUGUCGGGCCGCGGGAGAAGAAACAAAUCCUUUUUCUCACUCUCUCCAGGUUCACUGCUGAGAAACCAGGACACUCCUCUGUUCCCUGGGAGAGACAGUGAGCUCCAGGGAUGGAAGUCCAGACUUUGCAGCAGCGGUCUUCCCAUCUGCCUUCUUGUUUCUGCCCAAAUCCAGCUACUUUCAAGCGCUUGGUCCCCAGGACUGGAAGUCCCAAAGAACCUCUACCUGCCCCGACCCGCCUCCCCCAUACCCCUUCACCCCCUGCCACCAUUAGAAAGUCUUGGGAUUUUGAAAUGCUAGUUGCAGCAGCUGCUUCGGUGGCCACAGGCCGCCCACACUCUGAGAAGCGGAAGAGGGAGGGUUCCUCUCGUAAUGAGAUUAGCUGACCUGUUAAUGAGAGCUUUGGACGUGCUGGGCGCGGGUGGGUGCUUUACGUCCAUUUAAUCCAUCUAGCAACCAUGCGGAGAAGGCAUCAGUAACCCCCAUAUUGUAGGUGGGGACUGCUGAAGUUCGGACAGGUUAGAUGGGUUGCCUAAAGUCACGCCAAUAAUGAAUAAUGUAUUCGGAUUCAAACACUGUUCGGUGAGGUGCCAAGUGCGUCUCCCCCCCACCCUAGUCAAACCUGUAGUCAAUCGGUCCAGACUGACGCCAGAGGGGGUUGAGGGAGCACCCACGGGAGAGAUAUGGCUCCCCUUGCUGCAGGAGCCAGGGAAGAAGCUGAGAAGGUAGCGAAGUCCCCCUCGCCCACUACGUCUACGGAUGGUGUACCUGGGUUUUCUGAUUCAAGCGUCCGCCCCACUCACCCCCGGCACAGGUCGAUCAGGAGGCGACAGGACCCUAGGGCCCAGAGGGUACAGGGACCUCGCGUGAAGGGGGCAGGAGAAAGUUUGAGGGACCGCCCUGAAGGCCCGGGAGCGAACGAAAAGGUCUGGAAGGGAAUGGACCAGGAGCCUGCCCUGCGCCUCUCCAACAGGCCAGUGGCACCGGGUGGUUGAGGCGGAGUCCGCGGAGUCCUCCCCCCGGUGCCCAAGCGGGGUGGGCUGCGGAUAGGCGGGACCCCCGGGGCUGCGUGCACUCCGAGGGGCGCUCCCCCACACACAGUUGACCCUGGGCCCGCUUGGUCACGGCCACCCUGGCGCGUCUCAGUAGUUUUUAGAAAGUGAGCGUGCACGGACCAGCACCCCCUCAAAUCCGCUCCCCCCACCCCCUUCAAUUUAGAAGACCAGGGAAACAAAUCACUUCGACCACUUAGAAAGCGAUCAGAUCUUUAUAAAAAUCCAUUGCUCCCAAAUCGAUGGGUGAAUAUUUGCUGGGAAUUUGUUCCAGAGGAAUAAAUAAGGAGGCUGAAUGUAUUAAAUGCAAA